rnacentral:rRNA from 1 species
GAUGAACGCUGGCGGCGUGCCUAAUACAUGCAAGUCGAGCGAACAGACGAGGAGCUUGCUCCUCUGACGUUAGCGGCGGACGGGUGUGUAACACGUGGAUAACCUACUUAUAAGUCUGGGAUAACUUCGGGAGACCGGAGCUAAUACGGGAUAAUAUAUUGAACCGCAGGGGGCAAUGGAGAAAGACGGCUUUGCUGGCUGUUAUAGCUGGAUCCGGGCCGCAUUAGCUAGUUGGUAGGGUAACGGCCUACGAAGGCAACGAUGCGUAGCCGAGCUGACAGGCGGAUAGGCCGCACUGGAACGGGACCGCGGACCAUGCUACUACGGGAGGCAGCAGUAGGGAAUGGGCCGCAAUAGGGGAAAGCAUGACGCAGCGACGCCACGUGAGUGAUGACGGUCUUCGGAUCGGAAUAAUCUGUUAUGAGGGAAGAACCACUGUGUACGGAACUAUGCCCGUCUUGACGGUAACUAAUCAGAAAGCCACGGCUAACUACGUG